AUUGAACGCUGGCGGCAUGCCUUACACAUGCAAGUCGAACGGCAGCACGGACUUCGGUCUGGUGGCGAGUGGCGAACGGGUGAGUAAUGUAUCGGAACGUACCUUUCAGUGGGGGAUAACGUAGCGAAAGUUACGCUAAUACCGCAUAUUCUGUGAGCAGGAAAGCAGGGGAUCGAAAGACCUUGCGCUGUUUGAGCGGCCGAUAUCAGAUUAGCUAGUUGGUGGGGUAAAGGCCUACCAAGGCGACGAUCUGUAGCGGGUCUGAGAGGAUGAUCCGCCACACUGGAACUGGUCCACGGUCCAGACUCCUGCGGGAGGCAGCAGUGGGGAAUUUUGGACAAUGGGGGCAAUCCUGAUCCAGCCAUGCCGCGUAAGUGGAGAAGGCCUUCGGGUUGUAAAGCUCUUUCGGCCGGGAAGAAAUCUCAUAGGCUAAUACCCUGUGUGGAUGACGGUACCGGAAGAAGAAGCACCGGCUAACUACGUG
rnacentral:rRNA from 1 species